GACAGAGGUGCCGAGCGUUAGGCGGAAUCACUGGGCUUAAAGCGUGUGUAGGCGGGUUCGUAAGUAGCUUGUGAAAUCCCACGGCUCAACCGUGGAACUGCUUGGUAUACUGCGGGUCUUGAGCCACCUAGGGGCAAGCGGAACAAACGGUGGAGCGGUGAAAUGCGUAGAUAUCGUUUGGAACGCCAAUGGUGAAAACAGCUUGCUGGGGGUGUGCUGACGCUGAGACACGAAAGCCAGGGGAGCAAACGGG
rnacentral:rRNA from 1 species